rnacentral:lncRNA from 1 species
GGAUCGCCCCGGGACCUCUCACCAAAAACCAGGGCAUGAGGCUGAUGAGUACAACUCUGAUGAACAGCAGAGGUCUUGCGACUUGGACGAUGAUGAUGAGAAUCUACCAUUCUCAAGGGAACUAAGGAAUGCCCAGGUUCCGAGCCACUAUGUUAUGCCAAAAAUACCAAAGUAUGACGGAAGAGGCGACUCGGAGAAGCACCUGAAUGCUUAUAAAACUCACAUGAGCCUAAGGGGCGCCACCCCAGCUGUGAAGUGCAGAGCCUUCCAUUUAACGCUUAGUGGAGCGGCUGAAAUUUGAUAUAGCAGAUUGCCACCUAGGAGCAUUAGAAGCUGGCCCGAGUUCAAGAUAACAUUCUUGAAAAGGUUUGCGGUGAGCAAAGAAGGAGAGGCCCCCAUCCAACGUCUCCAGGACACGAGGCAAGCACAUGGGGAGUCCCUAAAGAGCUUCUUAUCACGCUUCACCGAUGAGAUGACGUACUGCAUACAAGUUACUGACCGAGAGGCACUAUCCGCAUUGAGGGGAGGUCUGGACAUGAAUACCUUAUUCUGGAGAGACGUGCAGAAUCAAGACCCCACCACCUAUGACGUUCUACUCGAAAUGAUGAGAAGAGAGAUCAUCAAUGAAGAAUUGAUUGAGCAUAGGAACAGGGCAAGUAGAGGCCUCCCACCUCCUCAAAGAUAGCGCGGUAGAGGCCCGACCUCCCACCUGAUGGGCUACCAAAUGAACCAGGCCGAAAAUGAGAACUUUGGUCAAACACUUGCCACCACCACUUUGAAUGCGGUUCCCACCUUGGCAUAUGAAGAUGUCAACCCAAUUACUGACCCUCAUUAGAUGGAGGCCCAGGAGAUACCCCGUUGGGGAAAAGGCUGAGGUCAAGGUUCUGGACCUAGAAAUAGGUCAAAUCCGAACCCUCCAGGAUACUGUGUGUACCACAUGUCCUACGGGCAUGACACAGCGGAUUGUAGAGACUAUGCACAACGUUCCCGGUAGGAACCCGCUAGAGACAGACAUGAUUCACCCCAGGCGAAUAGGCCCCCGCCCAGGCACGACAAUCAAUGUGGGCGUGAGGAGGCCGCUCCCCGUCAAAGGGAUGUAUCCCCACGACGAAGGGAGCAUGAUGCAGAGAGGCCCAGGGAAGGGCGUAGGCACCGAAGAAACCGACAAGCUUGAGAUGAAGCCCCUAUCCAUGAGGUGGAUACCAUAUUU